GACGAACGCUGGCGGCGUGCUUAACACAUGCAAGUCGAACGAAGAGCGAUGGAAGCUUGCUUCUAUCAAUCUUAGUGGCGAACGGGUGAGUAACGCGUAAUCAACCUGCCCUUCAGAGGGGGACAACAGUUGGAAACGACUGCUAAUACCGCAUACGAUUUAACCUCGGCAUCGAGGAAAGAUGAAAGGUGGCCUCUAUUUAUAAGCUAUCACUGAAGGAGGGGAUUGCGUCUGAUUAGCUAGUUGGAGGGGUAACGGCCCACCAAGGCGAUGAUCAGUAGCCGGUCUGAGAGGAUGAACGGCCACAUUGGGACUGAGACACGGCCCAGACUCCUACGGGAGGCAGCAGUGGGGAAUCUUCCGCAAUGGACGAAAGUCUGACGGAGCAACGCCGCGUGAGUGAUGACGGCCUUCGGGUUGUAAAGCUCUGUUAAUCGGGACGAAAGGCCUUCUUGCGAACAGUUAGAAGGA
rnacentral:rRNA from 1 species